UACGAGGGGAGCUAGCGUUAUUCGGAAUCACUGGGCGUAAAGGGCGUGUAGGCGGUUAGUUAAGUCAGUUGUUAAAUUUCCCAGCCCAACUGGGAACCAGCGAUUGAUACUGGCUAACUUGAGCACAGAAGAGAGAGGUAGAAUUAUCGGAGUAGCGGUAAAAUGCGUAGAUCUCGAUAGGAAUACCAGUUGCGAAGGCGGCCUCUUGGUCUGUUGCUGACGCUAAGGCGCGAAAGCGUGGGGAGCAAACAGG
rnacentral:misc_RNA from 1 species